UUGGUCUUGGCUUAGUAUGUGGGUAGCUUGGCUCUACUGGGGUCCCUCAAGCUUGGCUCUGGCCACCAGGAAGCAUCCCAUCACCCCAGCCCUCCUUGAAGAGAAGGAAGCCAGCACUCACCUCUUUCUGACUUACGUAUAAAUAGAAAGUCUUUCCUUCAAAUUUCAGCUUGGUCACCUCAUUCCUAGAAGCACAAAGAUAGUGCCUGUCACCUCAUUGUGGGCUGCUUGUUCACAGCUAAAUCUUGUAGAUGCACAGCCCACCCCAACUGGAAGGGGCUCCAGGCACAGACACAAUUUUAGCCAAAAUCAGAACUGAAACAAGACAGCAGCGCAGUGGCCUUAGAGAAUGUUGUUGAAACAGUUCAAUCCACAGUUUUCUGGUCAAUCACACUAUAGUAAUAGGGUGACAGGAGGAUUUCGGGCUUAUCAACAGUGGCUGUAAAAGGGAAACAUUUGCAUGGAAAGUGAGUCUAGGUAGAGUAUCUGGGGUCAUUUCAGGAUUGGGUUCAUAACACAGGUGCAUUAUCUGGAUGGGACUGUCAAACGUAAGAUGCCACAGGUAGCUGAUGAGGCCAAAGUUCAAGAUACAGCAAAUAAUGAGAAACAAUGCAACCAGGUUCUGAGGGAGUUGAGUCUUUCAGGUGACUGUGCCACUGGAUGGAAAAUGCAGUUUAAUGCAGACAAAUAUCAAACAAUCUCAGGGAGCGGGGCAGGGCAACAUACCAAAGAGAGAGAACAGAUUACAUGGAACAGUCAUGCAGCGUACUGACCAGGAAAGGGGCUUAGGGGUUAUUGUAGAAAAAUCCUUGAAGCCACCAGCCCAGUGAAUGGCUGCAGUAAAAGAGGCAAACAGGAUACUGGGGUACAUCACCCGUGGGACAGACACAAAUCAGAAGAAGUGACAUGGUUACUGUACAUGGCACGGCCUAGACCUCACCUCCACAUCCACCUCCUGCUCUCAGCCUUGGUUACAUUUGCAAAACGGAAAAACUACUGGGUCUUAGGUGAAUGUCCCUGAGAGCCAUGGAACUAGGCCUCAGCACUGGUUGCUCCUCACUUCCCUUCUAUCUGCCCAACAUAGCUGCCCUCUGGAGUCUCUCAGCCCUCUCCAUGUCACUGGAGGCCCCAUUUUUCAACCCAACUGGGACCCCCAAGGCGGUCUUGUCAUGCACAUUCACCUCCACUUGGCUGCUGCUUUUUUUUGUAAUUUCUAAGGAGAUUUCCUUCAUCUCCUAGGAAAUAGUAGAAAGGUAGCGAGAAUCAUGUACCCAACUUACUGCUGGAAAAAGUUCAGGGGACAGAGGAAAAUCACUUGUUCUCCAUGCUCCUGAAAAUCAUGGCUGGGUCAGGAUGAGAUUUCACAACUUCUGACCACCAGUUCUGAGCUAACACAAGUCACACGGUAUUCCUUCCCUGUUUGAUUCCCUCUCAAACUCCCUCUCAAUCAACCAUCAAUCUCAUACACACACAGUACAAUAAUGCCAAUUGGUUAAUAUAUAGACAAGCACACAGAUCACCUAGGUUCCAACAAGCAAGCUAGGAAAGUAAGGAGUUUUAUUUUGAGAGUGAGAUUGGGUUUACAUCUAUUAUUACAGAGUUGACACAUGGUGAAGAGGAGACUUCUAGAAGAAGUGGUGCAUGAGAGAAGCCGUGGAAAGAAAAGUGUCUGUGAGAACCAAGAGCCAUCAUGGUUUCUGGAAGGGAGAUUGCAAAUCCUCACAUCUUCACCCAGAGAGCACAGUGAAGUGGGCCGACUUGAGGAUGCCUAGGAAACAGAGGCUGUUGGCUCUCAGGGACACCCCUUUAGAAGAAAAGGAUCCCUAGGAAGAGACCACUCCCUUCGUCAGUUACCACCAUCAACGCAAGGCUUUGGAGAGGGCUCUGAACCAGAACUGCCCAAUCACAGACAAAGGACACGGGAACCGUCGCCCCUCCCCAGUUGGUGAGAUAUAAAGAGCCUAUUUUGGAAAUGAAGAUGCUCACCAUUUAAUGAAGUGGACCCUCUUGUUUCCUUGAAGAACAACAAACCCAAAAGGAGUGAAGGCCAGAAAUGCAGCAUUUCCUGACACGUCCUGCAACACAGAAAGACUUCUCAUCGGGUGAUGCAGGCACAGAGGUGAAAGGGUAAGAAACACAGCUGUUCAUAGGUGAUGCAGGGUUAAUACUUGGCAGUAGGUCACAGAGGGAAAAGCAUAUCAUCUGGAAUCACAAGACCAUAGUUUGAGUCUCAGCCUUGCCACUUGCCAGCCGCAUGACUACAGGCAAGUUACUUGCUGAGCCUCAGUGUCCUGAUCUGUAAGUUGUAGGUUAUAAUGAUACCAACCUUAGAAGGUUGCUGUGAACAUCCAAAGAGAAUGGCAACACCUCAUGCAUUGCUGAUGGGGUUGUUAAAUGGUACAGUCACUUUGAGAAAGAGUUUGAAAGUCAUUUAAAUUGUUAAAAAUAGAGUUACCAUAUGACCCAGCAAUUCCACUCCUCAGUAUGUGCUCAGAGAUUUAAAAAUGCAUGUCCACACAGAAACUGGUACAUGUAUGUUAAUAGCAGCAGUAUGUGUUAAGAGCUAAACAGCAGAAACAACCCAAUCCAUUUUCCAGUGUAAAGUUUCCAUUAACUGAUAAAUGAAUAAACAAGUAGUAUCAUGAUACAGUAGAAUCUUAUUCACCGGUAAAAAGGGAUGAAGGACUGAUAGACGCUACAACACAGGCGAACCUUGAAAACAUUAUGCCAAGUGAAAGAAGCCAGUCACAAAAAAUCAGGUUGUG
rnacentral:lncRNA from 10 species